rnacentral:rRNA from 1 species
CUGCUUCUACUUUCUGUAUGGAGCUGGGAGCGUCUGCCUGUUGGACGCCCGAAGAGCGUCAGGUUUGAUCCUUGGUAUGCAGAUGAACAUGACGAAUUACGGCGCCCCACGUGGGCUUACAAGUGGGAUAUCGUUUCCGAGAUGACAAACGAUGUCAAUCUCAUGUACCAAAAGUACAUUGCCGAGUUGGACACGAUUACGCCUGAGCAGGUAAGGAGGUCAUUACUUUAG